rnacentral:rRNA from 1 species
GGGACACGUGGUAUCCUGUCUGAAUAUGGGGGGACCAUCCUCCAAGGCUAAAUACUCCUGACUGACCGAUAGUGAACCAGUACCGUGAGGGAAAGGCGAAAAGAACCCCGGCGAGGGGAGUGAAAAAGAACCUGAAACCGUGUACGUACAAGCAGUGGGAGCACAGAGCAAUCUGUGUGACUGCGUACCUUUUGUAUAAUGGGUCAGCGACUUAUAUUCUGUAGCAAGGUUAACCGAAUAGGGGAGCCGAAGGGAAACCGAGUCUUAACUGGGCGUUAAGUUGCAGGGUAUAGACCCGAAACCCGGUGAUCUAGCCAUGGGCAGGUUGAAGGUUGGGUAACACUAACUGGAGGACCGAACCGACUAAUGUUGAAAAAUUAGCGGAUGACUUGUGGCUGGGGGUGAAAGGCCAAUCAAACCGGGAGAUAGCUGGUUCUCCCCGAAAGCUAUUUAGGUAGCGCCUCGUGAAUUCAUCUCCGGGGGUAGAGCACUGUUUCGGCAAGGGGGUCAUCCCGACUUACCAACCCGAUGCAAACUGCGAAUACCGGAGAAUGUUAUCACGGGAGACACACGGCGGGUGCUAACGUCCGUCGUGAAGAGGGAAACAACCCAGACCGCCAGCUAAGGUCCCAAAGUCAUGGUUAAGUGGGAAACGAUGUGGGAAGGCCCAGACAGCCAGGAUGUUGGCUUAGAAGCAGCCAUCAUUUAAAGAAAGCGUAAUAGCUCACUGGUCGAGUCGGCCUGCGCGGAAGAUGUAACGGGGCUAAACCAUGCACCGAAGCUGCGGCAGCGACGCUUAUGCGUUGUUGGGUAGGGGAGCGUUCUGUAAGCCUGUGAAGGUGUGCUGUGAGGCAUGCUGGAGGUAUCAGAAGUGCGAAUGCUGACAUAAGUAACGAUAAAGCGGGUGAAAAGCCCGCUCGCCGGAAGACCAAGGGUUCCUGUCCAACGUUAAUCGGGGCAGGGUGAGUCGACCCCUAAGGCGAGGCCGAAAGGCGUAGUCGAUGGGAAACAGGUUAAUAUUCCUGUACUUGGUGUUACUGCGAAGGGGGGACGGAG